UAGAUGAAUUUUCGUCAUUUUUUAGCGGUGUACCCAAAUAGGAUGACUGAGCAGAAAUAGGAGACUUUGAUGACUUUUCCAAUGAUUCAGAACGAAGAGGCUGAUUAAAAAUAUCUAAAAUAUCUGCUAGAGCUGCUUUCGUAUGUAUGGUAGGAGAAGGUGGUUUUUGUGCUGGUUUUGGAGACAAUGCAACAGGCAUUACUGUAUCAAAAACUUUUAAUUCAGGAGAUGUAGACUUUGCAACAUAAGCAUAAUUUUUUGGUAAAGAACGUGUAGGAGUAUCAGAUUGCUCGGCCACAGGGUUCUUGUAAAUAGGUGAUACAUUGGAUGAAGAUGAAUCAUGAUGCACUGAAAUUUCAUUUUUUGGCACCACUUUCGGGAAAGAAGCAGCAGUGUUUGGUUGAA